UCGAGACCGAAAAUAUAUCGAGCGAUUCGGAGAACCUGUGAAAUAAGCGGCGGCGGCAGUCGCCGCGAAACAGCCGUCCCCGCCGUCGCCCCCCCCUCGUCUGGAGGGGGCCGCGACGGGGCACGGCUGAAACCCCAAACCGGCGCAGAUUGGCGCCAAGGUAACUAGCGAAAAGCACGAGCCCGGCAUCGGGUCUUCGUGGGGCGGAGCGGUGUUAGCGCACCGCACGUAUUGACACGACUCUCGACAAUGGAUAUCUCGGCUCUCGCAUCGAUGAAGAGCGCAGCGAAAUGCGAUACGUGGUGCGAAUUGCAGAAUCCCGCGAACCAUCGAGUCUUUGAACGCAAGUUGCGCCCGAGGCCAAUCGGUCGAGGGCACGUCCGCCUGGGCGUCAACCGCCGCGUCGCUCCGUGCCAAGUCCCCACCGUUCCCACCGCAGUGGGGGGUGCCGGGCGAGGCUCGGAUGUGCAGAGUGGCCCGUCGUGCCCACCGGUGCGGCGGGCUGAAGAGCGGGUUAUCUUCUCAUUGGCCACGAACAACGAGGGGUGGAUGAAAGCUGCCGCGGGCGAGGCCCGCGUUGUCUCGUGCCGGCCCGAGUGAAGAUUACACCCUCCGUGCGAUCCCAUCCCACGCGCCGCCCCCGUGCGGCGGCUUGGAAU
rnacentral:rRNA from 1 species